rnacentral:misc_RNA from 1 species
UACGAUCGAUUCACGUGUUAUUCGGUAGAAAACACGAGUAUACGGUAUUUAAACAAAAUUUGCCUGAGAAACGAUAAUUUCUUGUCUUCGGCAUUGUAUGACAAAAAGCUUCGAUUAUUAUAAAAAAGAACGGUAUAAUGUAGCGUAACGUAUACUAUAAUAACGUUGCAAUCAAUGCAAGAUAACUUAAUCUUCUUAACUUUUGCUUCGAGUUAACUGUACAUUACUAAAUAUGCGUUAAGGUACUCUUAUAUGCCACGAUUGUCGCAUGUUGCAACCACCUUAAACGAUAUCUUAAACGACAAGUAAUUUGAAAUAUUUAUAUAGGUUUU